rnacentral:rRNA from 1 species
CAGUCGCCGCGGUAAUACGUAGGUGGCAAGCGUUGUCCGGAAUUAUUGGGCGUAAAGCGCGCGCGGGUGGUUUAAUAAGUCUGAUGUGAAAGCCCACGGCUCAACCGUGGAGGGUCAUUGGAAACUGUUAAACUUGAGUGCAGGAGAGAAAAGUUGAAUUCCUAGUGUAGCGGUGAAAUGCGUAGAGAUUAGGAGGAACACCAGUGGCGAAGGCGGCUUUUUGGCCUGUAACUGACACUGAAGCGCGAAAGCGUGGGGAGCAAACAGGAUUAGAUACCCGUGUAGUCCCUGUCUCUUAUAC